GCUGGGCACAGUGGCUUAUGCCUGUAAUCCCAGCACUUUGGGAGGCUGAGGCAGGCGGAUCGCCUGAGGCCAGGAGUUUGAGACCAGCCUGGCCAACAUGGUGAAACCCUGUCUCUA
rfam:Pan troglodytes isolate Yerkes chimp pedigree #C0471 (Clint) chromosome 3, whole genome shotgun sequence.